rnacentral:rRNA from 1 species
AUGCGUGUUAUGGGUGCGCACUGGAUGCGUCGGGACCGCGGGCGCGCGUAUGAGCGCGCAAUUGACGUUGGGAGGAGGCGUAUGUCGCUGUUGUGCUUGAGUCCGUGCUCGAGUUCGGUUACAUCCUUCCAGUGUUUGUCGUUGGCGGCUGCCAUGACGGACGCGGAGGCGGCGCGCGGUGAGCGUCCGGUGCGGUCGGGCUCGUCGGGCGUGACGGGUGCGCGGGACAUGCGGGACGCACUGGUGCGGUCGGGCUCGUCGGACGCGUCGGGUGCGUGUGGGACGUGCGGGGCACAGAGGGAUGUCAGACGUGUGUCGCCAGCGGAGAAGGAGCUCGGCGUAUGUCGCCGGGGUCGUGACGGAGCACGGUGUGACCGGCGUCAAUGCGCCAGGUCGGGUCCGUGGCGGUGCGACGGGCGUCGAUGCGCCGGGUCGGGUCCGCAGGUUAGGUCACAGCGGUGA